UCGAGCGGCGUAUUCUUCCUUCGAGCGGCGUCUUCUUCCAUCAAUCUUCCAUUGUUGCGAUAGGGUGUUGGGCUUCAGGUUGAACGUGCAGCGGCGAAAUUCCAAUUCCACUGUCAUACUCAACUCAAUGCAUUUUGGGUUGUCGGUUGGAUUGCUUAGGCAAGCUACAUACACAACAACACGACUUGGGUCAUUUAGGAAUAUAAUCCUAUUUGUUAGAAGUCCACUUCUCUUGCUGCAGAUAAGAACUUGCUUCAUCAGGUAUAAUUUGUAUUAAUUUAACUUGAAACUCCUCAGAAUGCGCUCUGCCGUAAGAUAUUACAGUGCAUGACGGUUCCCAAUAGGUUAAGUUGCAAGUUGUUACAUAAAGUUGGUUGGAUAUCUUUUAUUUUUAUAAAUGUUGUCAAUAGUUAGUUGGAUGAUGAAUUAGGUGUAUAAACGUGUGCCUACCUAUAGUCUUGCUUAAUUUAUAUUUAUAUUUCUUCAUUUAUAUUCUUUUGUAUUAAUUCAACUUGUAACUCCU